UUUCCGGUUGAUCCUGCCGGAGGCCACUGCUAUUGGGGUUCGACUAAGCCAUGCGAGUCUAUGGACUUCGGUCCAUGGCGGACGGCUCAGUAACACGUGGCUAACCUACCCUCAGGUGGGGGAUAACCUUGGGAAACUGAGGAUAAUACCCCAUAGGGGAUGAGGUCUGGAAUGAUCCUUCCCUGAAAGGACAUCCGCCUGAGGAUGGGGCUGCGUCCGAUUAGGUAGUUGGCGGGGUAAUGGCCCACCAAGCCUACGAUCGGUACGGGCCUUGAGAGAGGAAGCCCGGAGAUGGGGACUGAGACACGGCCCCAGGCCCUACGGGGCGCAGCAGGCGCGAAACCUCCACAAUGCACGAAAGUGCGAUGGGGGGACCCCAAGUGCUUAUGCACAGCAUAGGCUUUUCCCAAGUGUAAAUAGCUUGGGGAAUGAGGGCUGGGCAAGUCCGGUGCCAGCAGCCGCGGUAACACCGGCGGCCCGAGUGGUGGCCACUCUUAUUGGGCCUAAAGCGUCCGUAGCCGGUCCAGUAAGUCCCUGUUUAAAUCCUACGGCUCAACCGUAGGGCUGGCAGGGAUACUGCUGGACUUGGGACC
rnacentral:rRNA from 1 species